rnacentral:rRNA from 1 species
AUUGAACGCUGGCGGCAGGCCUAACACAUACAAGUCGAGCGGAUGAAGGGAGCUUGCUCCUGGAUUCAGCGGCGGACGGGUGAGUAAUGCCUAGGAAUCUGCCUGGUAGUGGGGGAUAACGUCCGGAAACGGGCGCUAAUACCGCAUACGUCCUGAGGGAGAAAGUGGGGGAUCUUCGUACCUCACGCUAUCAGAUGAGCCUAGGUCGGAUUAGCUAGUUGGUGGGGUAAAGGCCUACCAAGGCGACGAUCCGUAACUGGUCUGAGAGGAUGAUCAGUCACACUGGAACUGAGACACGGUCCAGACUCCUACGGGAGGCAGCAGUGGGGAAUAUUGGACAAUGGGCGAAAGCCUGAUCCAGCCAUGCCGCGUGUGUGAAGAAGGUCUUCGGAUUGUAAAGCACUUUAAGUUGGGAGGAAGGGCAGUAAGUUAAUACCUUGCUGUUUUGACGUUACCAACAGAAUAAGCACCGGCUAACUUCGUG